GGCCGCCAGCUAUUUCGGUGAAAGCGCCUUACGGUUUUGUAAUGGAAGUUACACUUCUGUAUGUCUUUAUUCUGUGCUUGAGAGAACCACCAGACUAGUCCCAAGUCCUCUGUGCACGCUUUUGAUUUCUGUGACGUCACCGAGCGAAUAUCUUGACAGACUAUGCUUUUGUUUACAGUUUUUGUUUUAAGUUUAUUUGGAAUAAUUAUUUUCUAGAAUAAGUUUGUA